rnacentral:rRNA from 1 species
UACGAAGGGGGGCUAGCGUUGCUCGGAAUUACUGGGCGUAAAGGGCGCGUAGGCGGCCUGGCAAGUGGAAGGUGAAAUCCCUCGGCUUAACCGAGGAACUGCCCUCCAAACUGCUUGGCUUGAGACCGGGAGAGGUGAGUGGAAUUCCCAGUGUAGCGGUGAAAUGCGUAGAUAUUGGGAGGAACACCAGUGGCGAAGGCGGCUCACUGGACCGGUACUGACGCUGAUGCGCGAAAGCGUGGGGAGCAAACGGG